rnacentral:rRNA from 1 species
AACGUAGGACGCAAGCGUUAUCCGGAGUUACUGGGCGUAAAGCGCGAGCAGGCGGUUGAAUGCGUCCGAUGUGAAAGCGCCCGGCUAAACCGGGCGAGGCCAUUGGAAACGGUUUAACUGGAGGGCAGUAGAGGCAGGCGGAAUUCCGGGUGGAGUGGUGAAAUGCGUAGAGAUCCGGAGGAACACCAGAGGCGAAGGCGGCCUGCUGGGCUGCACCUGACGCUGAGCCGCGAAAGCCAGGGGAGCGAACGGG